rnacentral:tRNA from 1 species
GCCUGGGUGGCUCAGUCGGUUGAGCGUCUGACUUCAGCUCAGGUCAUGAUCUCACGGUCUGUGAGUUUGAGCCCCGCAGCAGGCU